rnacentral:rRNA from 1 species
CAGUAGCCACGGUAAUACAGAGGGUGCGAGCGUUAAUCGGAUUUACUGGGCGUAAAGCGUGCGUAGGCGGCUUCUUAAGUCGGAUGUGAAAUCCCUGAGCUUAACUUAGGAAUUGCAUUCGAUACUGGGAAGCUAGAGUAUGGGAGAGGAUGGUAGAAUUCCAGGUGUAGCGGUGAAAUGCGUAGAGAUCUGGAGGAAUACCGAUGGCGAAGGCAGCCAUCUGGCCUAAUACUGACGCUGAGGUACGAAAGCAUGGGGAGCAAACAGGAUUAGAUACCCGAGUAGUCCCUGUCUCUUAUAU